rnacentral:rRNA from 1 species
CAGAGGAGAAAAGUCGUAACAAAGUAGGCGUAUUGGAAAAUGCGCCUGGAACUAAA